UACAGAGGGUGCGAGCGUUGUCCGGAAUCACUGGGCGUAAAGCGCGCGCAGGCGGCUAUCCAAGUCAGUGGUGAAAGCCCGGAGCUCAACUCCGGAACUGCCAUUGAAACUGUUUAGCUUGAGGACGAGAGAGGUGAGUGGAAUUCCCAGUGUAGAGGUGAAAUUCGUAGAUAUUGGGAAGAACACCGGUGGCGAAGGCGGCUCACUGGCUCGUUUCUGACGCUCAGGCGCUACAGCGUGGGGAUCAAACAGG
rnacentral:rRNA from 1 species